CGCCUCGACCCCCGCGCGGCCCGCCUUGCGCGCGCCCUUGGCGAGGUGGCCGUGGCCGUGGCCGUGCGAGUGGCCGUGGCCCGCGCCCUGGCCCUCGCCGCUGUGAUGGUGGAACAGACAGAGCCCCAGCACGUUGACCAGCAGCCCCGCCACGCCGACGCUCAGCACCACGAGCGGCUGCUGCAUCUCAUGCGGCUCGAUGAAGCGCUCGACGGCUUCCAGCAGGAUGGCGAAGCACAGCCCCGUGAGGAAGAUGGCGUUCACCAGUGCGCCCAUCACCUCAGCGCGGAUCCAGCCGAACGUGUUCUUCUGCGUGGCGUGAGUCCUCCGGGCGAAGCGCUCGGCCACCAGCGCCACUACGAGCGCCAGCACGUCCGACAGCAUGUGGAAGGAGUCGGACAGCAUGGCGAGCGACGCGGUCACCCGGCUCACCACCACCUCCAGCACCAUGAACAUGAAGGAAUAAUGAAAAUGGGGCCCAAGUUCUGCAGUCAUGGCAGGAAGGACAAGGCUGUGAAUUUGUGAGGCAGAAUCUACAAGCAAUGAAUGAGUGGAGAGCCCAUGCAGCUAAGAAAUUUGUUCCAUGCCCCACAGCUUGUGACUGUGGGACUCUGUGGACAUGAAGCCUGGCUUGUAACUUCACACCUUCAUUGGGGUAGCAAGCUGGUCUGAAGCUCAAGACCACAUGAAGCCCUACAGAGUCUGCUCCCUCCUGCUUCCUGUUCCUCUACACCGCUGGCUCUACUACAAAGAAAUGGGGAUUCCCUCAAGAAUCUCAUGCCGAGAGAAGGAAAAAGUGUCCAUCAAAAGAACGUGUCUCCUGGAAAGAGUCUUGCACACAGUUGUGACAACUUAUCAGCCCACAUCACAGGGCUGCGUGAAAUCUCAAGGACAGCACAGUGGUAAGCAGGGUCCCACCUGGACUGGGACUGCAGAUGCCCGGGCCUCCUAUGUAAGUCUUUGUUCUGUUUGUUUUCCGAGACAGAGUCUUUCCAUGUUAUCACUGGAGUACCGGCUGGCUCCUUAAGGCAUGUGUCACUGCACGGUUUAGAUUUUAGUUAUCAUUAGCAGAUCAUAUUUUUUUCUUUGCUUGUUUCAAUAUUUUUUUCUUUUUUAAAAAAGAUUAUAUUUAUUUUUUAUUUUAUACAGAUGUGUUUUAUCCAAAUAUGUGCCUGCAUGCCAGAAGAUACCAUUACAGAUGGUUGUGAGCCACCAUGUGGUUGCUGGGAAUUGAACUGAGGACCUCUGGAAGAGCAGACAGUGCUCUUAACUGCUGAGCCAUCUCUCCAGCCCCCGCAUUGUACUUUGAACUGGCCUUUAAGCCAUGUUCCUCGGAGGGUCAGCAGCCAGCAGCCAGCAACCUCUCCUUGCCGGAGCAGAAUCCUCAACAAAAGCCGCUUAAGGCAGGAAGCAUCUGUUGUGGCGGCAGCUGGAGGGUGCGGUUCAUCCUAGCAGGGAAGACCUGGCAGCAGGAGCUGGAGGCCUUGGGGCCAGGAAACCAAGAGCGUCUUCUCAGUGCUCAGCCUGCUGUCGUCCAGGGCGCCAGCCUGUGAGGUGGCAUCGGUCCACCUUUACCAAGUCUUCUAGAAUCUGUCUCUCAGGCAUGCCUAGAAGUUCGUUUCCAUGGUGAUUCCAAACAUGUUGAGUUGAUGGUCAAGUCAGCCACCACAGAUGUGUUAAUUAUAUUUUACGAUGUUUCCAAUUUACGGUGAGUUUAUUAAGGGUAGGUCAAAGACCCUCCGUAUUCUGAAAUUCAGAAGAUUUGUACCCAGGUUUACCUGUUGUUGGGUUUUCUCCCAUUGGCUUUGGCUUUUGUGCUUCCUCCUUUGUCCUUGAGAUAGGUCCUUGCUGUGCAACCCCAGCUGUUCCAGAACUUGCUAAGUAGACCUGUCUGUCUUUGAAUUUGCUGCAAUCCUCUUGCCUCUGUCUCCUGAGAGCUAGGAUUAUAUAGACACCGUGCUCACUGCGUCUUUGUCUCUUGAAGGAUGUGAAGCAAGUCACGCAGGAAAGAACCAACUCUCCAAAGUUAUCCUCUGAUGUACAUACAUACGUAAACACACACACACACACACACACACACAAACACACACACACACACACAAACACACACACAAACAUACACACACAAACACACACACACAAACACACACACAUGUAAACACACACACACACACAAACACACACACACGUAAACACACACACACACACACACACACACACACACACACACACACACACACAAAACAUAAUCCAAAGCCAAACACCUUGAUAUGCAUCUCAGAAAAAUAGGGCUAUUCUGAUACAUAGCCAUAGUACAUUUUUGCCUGCUUUAUAAGUUAGGAUGUCAUUGUCUGUAAACCCAGUGGCUCUAACAUCAUCUUAGCACUGCCCCCUCCAAGGCGAUUACCUGCCUCUCCCCUCAUUUUGCUUAGAGCAUUUCCAUAGCCCCCCUUUUUGUUCUUUAUAAUGUUGACAUAUUCUUAAGAAUAUAGUUCUUCUCAUGUUUUGGGGGGAGGCAAGCAGUAACAUCAUUAGCUUGAGGCUGGAGUGGGCUAAAAGCAUGUUCCAGAAGCACCUUCCAGGCCCACAUCAGCUACAUAGUAAGAGCCUGUCUCAGGAAGCCAAGGUUGGAGUAGGGCUCAGCCGUGUUGCACUUGCCUCUCACACACAGGCCUCAGAUUGAUCCCCAACACCACAAGAUCAAAUAAAAGCCCAUCUGCUCCGUCUGAUGCUUUGUUCUCUCCGUUGGGAUAUUGCGGAAGUGGAGUCCUGUCCUGUUUCUGGGGGCAUCUGACCUGGGAGCAAGUGACAUCCACCUGUCCCUUCCCAGAAGCGCAUCCUUUAAUCUCUCUCUCCACCCAUUCCACACUCGCCCAGCUCCUUUACCAUAUAAUUAUUUUCUUUCCUUUGAACUGAGAAGCCGUCUCUGGGUAGGUACUGUUAAGACUACGAAAAUGUAUUAUCCACCAACAUUUCCUCUCACACUCGGUGUGGGAAAUGAGCCCCACCCGGCUCCAUCUUCACGUUCUUGCGCUGCCUGCCUCAGUGUUUGCCAGUGUCCUGGAAGCAGGAGCUCACCACACCCCCACUAGUUUAUUUCUUGGUCUCAGUGGUUUACAGUUCAUCUCUGCUUAUUUGGGGCCUGUGGUUGCUGAUUUCAUGAAUGUUUCUGGAUUUUUGACUGAAUGAUGCAACUGAGGCGUUUGUGGUGAUUCUGUCCACCCCAGCGCGGCCAGAGAACCCGCAACAACAGCUCGAAGGACUUCGGAAAGAUGACAUUGAUUCUGGCUUUCCUGUUUGUAACCAAUGGGUUGUGGGUAGGCUGUGCAAGCUUCAGUUUCCCCGACGGUGUCGGUGUGAGAAUACUGGAGUUUACCAUCCAGACUGAACAAGAUAACGUUUGUGUUUCGGAGGAUGACUGAUACACCAGUACCUCACAGGUUCUGUUCCUAGUGUGAUAUGGUUCAUGCAUGAACCAGGUCAUCUCUGCUGUUGUUGCAGCUCCCUAUUGCUCACAGCCACCAUUGAAAAGUACCCCCAAACUCACUCAGGUCUGCCCCUUUCCUACAGCUGGGUUAAUCCAGAGAUAACUAGCCUGGCUGCUUUUUUUCAGAGAGCAUGGGUAUGAAAUAGAGAGGCAAAUGGCUCACUCCUGGCUACCCAGGAGGGGUGCCUCAUUUCUGGAAACACACCUAGUCCAGCGAGUGCAUUCUCUGUCGCCAUCAAGGGCUGCUUACACUCCUCUCUUCUUUUCCUGGUGACGGGUGUUACUCUGAGGCGCUCGCGCUCGCUCGCUCGCAGUGGGAGAACGUUCUCUGCGUGACUCAUCCUCAUUCCAGGAUAACGUGCUCUACUUUCGUUCUCUGCCUCCCACUCAGUUUCACAUCCCUCUUCGGAGCCUCCGGACCCUCUGUGCCCCAUCUGCCUCCCACGCCCAUCCCCGCCCUCUUCUGCUUUGGUCCUUGCUCCAGACUGCUGCGCCAUCCUCAGAUUCUACUGCCUGCACUGGGAGGAGUCAGGUUUAUGGCAGAGCAUGUGUGUUGCUGAGAAGCCUCUCUGAUUCACGUUGGAUAUAGCACGAAGGUGUACAAGGAGAAGUGUCUGUCUGUGUGUCCAGCAUCCUGCAAAGGCCCAAGCACCGCAGCAAAGCAAAGAGCUCCAGGCACCCCAGUUUCAUUUCAUUUCCUCCAAAGCCCCUGGGAAUUCUGAGCUCCUGGGGUUGCUGGUGAGCAGAAUCAGACUGGGAAAAGCCAUGCCAGGGGCUCAGCCUAGGGAUGUGAUCGUUGUGCCAAGAUCUCCAGUUUCGUGUUUUGUUUCUUCUGAAACACGCUCUGACCUGUAUAAUUUGAUGUUACUCACAUCUAAAUGCUAAUAAAACAACUGAAAUAUUUGCAGAUGA
ensembl:antisense 1700034H15Rik RIKEN cDNA 1700034H15 gene